rnacentral:rRNA from 1 species
AUGCCGGACAGAAACAUCCUCGAAGGGGUUGUGGUCUUGCAUGAAACGAUCCAUGAAAUUCACAUGAAAAAACUUGAUGGCGUGGUUUUCAAGGUGGAUUUCGAGAAAGCGUACGACAAAGUCAAAUGGCCUUUCCUCCAACAGGCACUACGCAUGAAGGGUUUUGAUAAAGUUUGGAGACGACAAGUCGAAUCCUUCACGCAAAAAGGGAGUGUUGGAAUUAAAGUGAAUAACGAUAUAGGUCAUUAUUUCCAGACACAUAAGGGCCUGAGACAAGGUGAUCCAGUGUCUCAUAUUUUGUUCAACAUUGUCGUUGACAUGUUGGCAAUCCUGAUAGGUAGGGCAAAGGAGACCGGCCAGGUAGGUGGCUUGGUGCCUCAUCUAGUUGAUGGUGGUGUGUCCAUCCUGCAGUAUGCUGAUGAUACGAUCAUCUUUAUGGAGCAUGACUUGGCAAAAGCGAGAAAUAUGAAGCUGGUGUUGUGCCUGUUUGAGCAAUUGACCAGUUUGAAGAUUAACUUCCAUAAAAGCGAGUUGUUCUGUUUUGGGAGAGCCAAAGAGGAACAAGAUGCAUAUAAGCAAUUGUUUGGUUGUGAAUUGGGAGCACUUCCGUUCACUUACCUAGGUAUCCCCAUUCAUCAUCGUAAACUAACAAACAGCCAAUGGAAGUGUAUCGAGGAUCGAUUUGAGAAGAAACUGAGCUGCUGGAAGGGCAAACUCAUGUCGUAUGGAGGCCGGUUGAUUCUUAUUAAUUCGGUGCUCACGAGUCUGCCUAUGUUCCUUUUGUCCUUUUUUGAGGUACCAGUUGGAGUUAGGAAAAGGAUGGACUUCUAUCGGUCUCGUUCCUUCUGGCAGAGUGAUGAACUUAAGAGAAAGUACCGUUUAGCCAAAUGGGACGUCAUCUGCCGACCGAAGGGCCAAGGGGGUCUUGGUGUUGAAAAUCUUGAGGUCGAGAACAGAUGUCUUCUCAGUAAGUGGCUAUAUAAGUUAGCUGCUGAGACUGAAGCUACUUGGGCACAGAUUCUGCGUAACAAGUACCUCCACUCUAAGACUUUGUCGCAGGUGACAGUCAGACCGACUGAUUCGCCUUUCUGGAAAGGGCUAAUGAGAGUCAAAGCUACUUUCUUUAACAGAACAAAGUUUAUUGUUGGGGAUGGCAACAAUACUCGCUUCUGA